UACAGAGGUGGCGAACGUUGUUCGGAUUUACUGGGCGUAAAGGGUCCGCAGGCGGCCCAGUGUGUCGGAUGUGAAAGCCCACGGCUUAACCGUGGAAUUGCAUUCGAAACUGCUGGGCUAGAGUACUGGAGGGGAGAAGGGAACACUUGGUGUAGCGGUGAAAUGCGUAGAUAUCAAGUGGAACACCGGUGGCGAAGGCGCUUCUCUGGACAGAUACUGACGCUCAUGGACGAAAGUUAGGGUAGCGAAAGGG
rnacentral:rRNA from 1 species